rfam:TPA: Bos taurus chromosome 2, whole genome shotgun sequence.
UCCCUGGUGGCUCAGAUGGUAAAGCGCCUGCCUGCAAAGCGGGAGAUCCGGGUUCAAUCCCUGGUUCGGGAA